AAAAAGGAGGCAUAAUGGUUGAUGUGAUUGGCUUGAAACUAAUUUAAUGUGGGUUCGAUUCCUACCCUUUUUG
rnacentral:tRNA from 1 species